GUGGCUCAGAGGUUAAGAGCACUGGCUGUUCUUCCAGAGGUCCUGAGUUCAAUUCUCAGC
rnacentral:tRNA from 1 species